rnacentral:lncRNA from 1 species
GGGGAGGGGACGCUGGGGCCUCACUGGGAGGUGGGUUGUAGGAGCUGUGAUGGAAACAAUAGUGAACGUUUAAAAUAAAAAAAAACAAACAUCACAGGACACGGUACAUUCCCACUAGCACCCUCUCAGAAGCCCCCAACACACUCAGCCCAUAGUCCCUGCCCCUUCCUGCAGCAGCUCUGGAGUUCUCUUUCCUGAGUGUCUUUUAAUCACACCGUCCUGGCUGCCUCCACGUCCUGAAUGGAUUCAAAACGUUUCCCUGGGCCAGGGAUUUGGCUCAGGGGUUCCACUGCCUGCCUCUCAAGCGUAAGGUCCUGAGUUCGAUCCCCGGUACCAAAAAAAAAAAAAAAACCCAAAAGAAGUUUCCCUGUCGUGGUCUUUGGGGAAGAUCCAGAAAGUCGCACAAAUCGCUUCUCGGCCCAUUUGGCUAAGAUCAAGCGCAGAAAGUCGCACAAUUGCGGGAUCCAACGACGAAGGUGGGGCAGGGACCCAGCGUCACGUUUUUCGUGGGCCGCCUUUCCACUGGGUGGCGCUGUGCAGCAGCGUUAGCCAAAUUUCGAUCCCGCCUGGUAAAGACCCUCAGGAAAUAGGAUGCCCGAGCUGCUGCGGAAAUGGCCGGAAGCGUGGGAUCGGAGCCAGAACACGAAUAAAAGCGCUGCCUCCACCUGGAAGACCCCUGUCCCUACUUCAAAGCCCCCAUCUUAAGGCUUCUCCCCAUGCAGCUGGAUUCCCCAGGCAGAGCCCUCUUCAUCAACCUGGGUCCCUCUUUGUGUCCCCCAUGCUGACCCCGGCAGCCGGACAUGUCCAUGUCUAGCUUAAGGCCCUGACUACAGCAAGUACUCAAUAAAAGUUGACAGCGUGGGCAGGCGGACUGACAUCUAGCCCGUUCCACUGUGAAUCCCUAAGGAAACUCAGUCUCAGCUAGCCGCUUACACACACACCACGCGCACGUAUGCACACGCACGCACAAGCACACACACACACACACACACACACACGACGAGCGCGCCUGCUGGUACACAGCUGGGGCUUCAUAAAUGCUCUCUGCCCAACCAGACCACAGAAAACGAUGUCAUAGGCAGGAGGCUCCAGGGCCUCCUGGAGGCAGCUGGGGAAACUGAGGCACAG